UGAUAACGGCUCGGCCGUUAUCCGUCUGAUAAUGAGCGACUGACAAUAUUGGCAACUUUACUCACAUUAAAAUAUAACGUGUAAAUGUGUAAUGAAUAAUUAUUAUGAAUGUUAUAGUAUCAAUAGUCUCAUACUCUAAUACUCUCGAAGUCUCGCAGUAACACAGUCUCAUACAUGACUAAAUAAAUUUAUUUAGUCAUGGUCUCAUAGUCAUAAUCACAGCUAAAUGUUCAUAUUUUUUUUAUGUUUCGUGAAGCCAUGAUUAAAAUACAUAAAAUCUAUACUUUUAAUCGUUCGUGCAUUUAAGGUCAUACUAAAAGCCGUUCAUGUUAGUUUUGUUCGUUGCUUGCUCGUUGCUUUCCAACGACUAGCACACAUCAAGCUUGAAACUGGUUUUUUGGUUGUCAUCAAAGCACCUUCGUCGCUGCAUAAUGUUUAUUUGUUUCUAUCAAAAGCAACUGUAUGGAGUCAUUUUUUCGUCUUCCUUAAACCCAUGUUUCAGUGAAAAUUGUAUAUCAUUGUUCGGUAACUAUUGUUCGAGACAACAACCAAUAUUUUAUACUAAUUUUGUUUUCCCAGUUUAGGGUGUCCUUUAUGUUAACCAGAAACUCUGUUGAUUUUAUAUUGUUCCUGUGCGUGGUUUGAAUGUAGUAGCAGACUAUUUAUUUGUCAGUGGCUGUAACUAGAUGGUUGCACGCCUAUGGGCCCGCACUUUGUAUUUUAUUAAUUAAGCUCUAAUACCCAGUUAACAUUCCCCAGUGCAUUUUGCAUGAGAUUGAAUCUGCCACUCAACACAGUCAUAAUAUGUGAGUAUUGAUUUGUGAGUAUUUGUGGCACUUUUGUAUAACAGGCCUGUUGUCACAAGCCUGUUUUAUAUCUUAUUAAUUAUUGAACCUAACAUUGAAUACUACCUUGAGCAAACAUAAACAUUUUAUUAGUUAUGAGUUAUGAAUGGUAUGAUGAAUCAUAGACCUAUAAAGAAAAUGUAGUAUAUAGAAAAUUCUAUUUGAUGAACAGUCUUCUUUUUAUCAGAAGAGUCAACAGACUACAAGGUAUUGUCGGUUAAACAGGAAAAAAAGAGUAUACAAGGCACAAGUACACAAUUUAAAUUUUAAAUAUUUCAGUCAAACAGAAAAAAUAAUAAAAAUAAAUAUAUUUAUAAGUGUUUGUAGGUUCUAUUUUAUAAUUUAUGAAUAAUAAUAUUUACUUAUGUUACUAAUGGUUUAGAAUAUAUAUUACACAUAUAUAUCCGUUAAAACUUUAGUUUUAUGAUCUACACAUAUAAAACACAACUUUCAAUUCUCGGUGCAGAAGAAUUCUUCAAAUGUGUCAUCAAAUGAAUUUGAUGAGCCUGCAUGUAUAAUUUGAACACAUUUUGAUUUAUGUGUAAAACAUUUGCUACCUUCCAAUAUACUACAAUUACCCAUUUUAAGUGGUAUGAAAAUUGAAUACUACAUAGAAACAUAUGGUAUAGUUGCAAGAAAGUUGCAGUCAAUGGAUGGUCAUUAGCUUCUGAAACUAGUUUUAUAAUACCAAAGAACCUCUGGAAUGAAUGUAAUAUAAUUUCAUAGUUAGGUUUAUUAAUAUAUGAGAAUUCUACACAUA